GGAAUAGCAGGGCCGGGGGGCGGCAAUCCCGGAUUCAGGAGUCCAGCCGGUGACCGAGAGACACCAUGGCAGCUGGACCAUGGUUAUGCCAUUGGCCUUUUCAGAGAAACAGCUGCCUCACUGCUCCAGUGCCUGGUUCAUGACAGUACUGUCCAUAUCCUCCGCCACGCUGACCGCUCAAAUCAUCUUGCACUGGAGCAAUGCUGUUUGCACUCAUGGGAUACCAGGUCAUUCCCUCUCUGAUCCUUUCUUGCAUCUCCCAUUUCUCCAUGUGACAGUGAUGCUUCCAGACAGCAUGGGACUGCCGGCUUUUUGGAUUGGAGAAGUGCAUGCUCCAUGUGGCUCUGAAUAACUGCUUUUCCUGGAAAACCUGGAGCCUACAGAAAUCAGACCAGAUGUGCUCUCCUGGGAGCAGGGGGAGCCAGAUGCUGCAAACAGGUGAUCUUCUAGGAUGACGGGUGGAAGGGGCAAGAUGAAUACUGGCAAGUUUC
rnacentral:lncRNA from 1 species